rnacentral:lncRNA from 1 species
CUCAGCGCUGUUUCCACCCGCGUCAAGCAAAGGCGCAGCGGGGGUGGCGCUGCCGGGUGCGAGUGGCCCCGUGUGAGCUUCGCCUCUGCCGCGGCCGGCACGCAGUCGUUACCGGAGAGGAGGGGGCGCCGCGAGGGCUGGGGGCGGCAGGUAGGGCGAGCCCCGCCGGGAGGAGGCCCCCGGGCGCGCCUCUGGCCGGGCUUGCUCUCACGGCGAGGGGUUUUGGCGUUAGCUCCCUUCUUCCGCCAGUCUGCCCGUGUUUGCUCGCUCUGCCCCGCAUAGGCUGCGUCCUUACAGCCCUUAAGGGCGCGCUUCAGCUGCCGUGCGUUACCUUCCCUUGAAUAUAUAGGCUGUGAAACCAUACGCUGUAUUUUCAGUCAUAAUCCGGACCCUUCCCAAAUUCCGAGGAAAUAAUACAAAAUAUAAUCGAGCAAGCACAGCGGUGCGGUUACGCUCUUUUUAGGAACUCACACUAAUGCGUUGCUAUAAAUACUUCACUUCUGUAGAUGUCACCUUUUGCAACUUACAGGCUCAUCGCAAAAGGCUGGCAACUCAGUAACAGGUCAAAAAGGCACCUGAAAAAAAAGUGAGAAAAAAAUACAAGACCUUGCAAGCUUUGAAAAAACAGCAAAGAUGACUGAAUUCAAGGGGAAGAAUAAAUACCUUGUCUCUUAUAUUCCUGCAUAUAGGGCACAGAAUAUCUAUAAGAAGCACAUUCUUUCUUCUUCCAUUUGUGAGGAACAGCUGUACACACCAACACACCUUUGUUACAAAGUUUGUGAAACAAAAGCAUGCAGUGUACCUGCAGGAAGUUUCAGUAGUUGAUGGUUUAGGACAGUCAUCAUACUCUCCUGUGUGUGGAUGUUCAUUUUCCCCUCCACAUCAGAAAAUAAAAGUGGGAUUCAUCAGACCA